rnacentral:lncRNA from 8 species
UUACAUCAGCAGAUGUCACAAAGUGCUAUACAGAAACCCAGCCUAAAACCCAAACAGCAAUGCAGAGGUAGAAGCCAGACUCCAUGGGAUGUAGAAGUGAGAUGUGAUCCAUGUGUUAAGCACCUCCCCUCCUGACAGAGGCAACACCAUCACUUGGUUUCCUGACUCAACCACCUCACUACUUGUUUGACAACUAGGUUCAUCAAAAGGAAAUACAUUUCUGGCUUUAAGGAUCAGUUACUGUAACUAUUUUAUUUUUUAAUGUAACUGGACUUAGAAGGUUGUUGUGUGAAGAGACAUGGAGGCUGUGUUUGGACUAGUGUUGGUGAUGUUAACAGGAGUGUCUCAUGGUAAGAUGCUUCUUAUCCUCUUAUUCUGCAUCUGCUACAUGGUUUCUAUUGUCUACUUUGUAUUGUAACGAUGUGAAUGGUUAUUGAGUCAAAUGCACAAACAGCAUCAUGCAUUAGAUGAGUGCCACUAUUGCCACAAAUUAUUUAAAGAGAGAUGUCAUUUUUGGGGGCAUUAUGUCUUUCAUUGAGAUCCCAAUGACAAGAUUGUGAUUAUCAUUAGUUCUCUCUGUCUCUGUCUGUCUUUCUGUCUCUCUCUCCUCAGCCACAGACAUGGUGACCACCUGUAAUGCUACUCAGAGCUCAUCCCAGUGUUCUGUGGUUCUGAGUGGAACUCUGGAUCUCCAGCUGAUGACCAAUGCUAGUGGAUGUGAAUUGUUGUUUAAAAAGAACCUCACCGAUGGUCCCGAACUGAUAUUCUCACUGAAAAGAAACAAGGUCACCUUUAGGGGAACGAGUGAAAAAAGAUCAAAGUUCUUUAUCAACAAUGGGACCUUUAGGUUAACCAAUGUGGAGAGGACUGAUUCUGGGCAAUACCUUGUGGAGAUCUACGAUUCCAAUGGGUUACACGUUUGGGAACCAGACGAGUACAACUGGACAUUGAAGCUCCUCUAUCUAGGACCAGGUCUACCCAUUGCGCUCCUCUUGGGGUUAGGUUCAGCUGGUGGUCUUCUCCUAGCAGUGAAUCUGGUAGCCUGCUGUAUUCAGAGGAGAAGGAGAAGUCCAGCACCACAGGUUAGAACACAGCAAGCACCCCACCUAUAAUGUUACCAUAGUUACUAUCAAUGAGGCUACAGUACAGCACAGAUGUGUGUCACCACUACUUAGUAUCUGACUUAAUGUGUCUUCACACCACUGAUUUACCCCAUCUCACAUUUCAGAUGCAGAACUAAAAGGACCUCAGCCUUCAGAAUGAGGAAAGGCGAUCAAACCUGUGAUACUUGCUAACAGAGGGGAGAUUGUCACGGUUGUCGUCGGGAAAGGAGGACCAAAAUGCAGCAGGAAUGUGGAUGCUCAUCUUUACGUUUAUUUAACUCAAAAGUGAACACCAAAAAUAAUAAACAACGAUACUCACGAUCAACAAAACAGUCUCGUUAGGCUACUCACGCUAAACAAGAAACAAUCUCCCACAACUACAAACACACCUUAAUAUAUAGGACUCUCAAUCAAAGGCAAAUAGACAACCCUGCCUUCAAUUGAGAGUCCCUACCCCAAUUAACUAAACAUAGAAACAGAUUCACUAGACUAAACAUAGAACUACAUAAACAUAACACAGUGCCCAAAACCCCCCGGAAUACAUACAUCAAAUGCCCUACUAAAUCAACCACCACCCCAAACCACAUAAAACAAAUACCCUCUGCCACGUCCUGACCAAACUACAAUAACAAUUAACCCUUAUACUGGUCAGGACGUGACAGAGAUAGAGGUUUAGGACUCAUUAGUAGGCUUCCAGAGAGUAGUGAUUGAUAAGUAACUAGAAUGAAGACAAAAUACUCAUUCCUUUUUCAAAACAGCCCAAGCAAUUUCCUUAGAUUUUCAGUGUGUGCAUUAAUUAACUUCUAAAAAAUAUAUUUAUGGUAGUAGUUUAUUUUUUAUUCAUUGUUUUUCUGUUUUGUUGGCAGCUGGGAAUCAGCAGUGGUAUUAACUUCUAUGGGCUAGGUGGGACGUGACUGUCCCAACUGCGGGACACACUAUUCAACAGCCAGUGAAAUAGCAUGGCGCAAAAUACAAAACAGCAAAAAUCUCAUAAUUUCAUUUUCUCAAACAAUCAACUAUUUUACACCAUUUUAAAGAUACAUUUCUCGUUAAUCUAACCACAUUAUCCAAUUUCAAAAAGGCUUUAUGGCAAAAGCAUAACAUUAGAUUAUGUUAGGACAUAAAAACCACACAGCCAUUUUCCAAGCAAGGACAUGCAUCACAAAAAACCAAAAUACAGCAAAAAUAUUCACUAACCUUUGAUGAUCUUCAUCAGAUGGCACUCAUAGGACUUCAUGUUACACAAUACAUGUAUGUUUUGCUCGAUAAAGUUCAUAUUUAUAUCCAAAAACCCCAUUUUACAUCGGCGCGUGAUAUAAAUAUUUUGCCUCCAAAACUGCCGGUGGAUCAGCACAACAAUUUACAAAAAUACUCAUCAUAAACGUUGAUAAAAUAUUAAACUGUUAUUCAAAGAAUUAUAGAUAAACAUCUCCAUAAUGCAACCGCUGUGACAGAUUUCAAAAAAAGCUUCACGGGGAAAGCAUACUUUGCAAUAAUCUGAGUACGGCGCUCAGAAAAAUACAUCAGGCAAUACAGAUACCCGCCAUUUUGGAGUCAUCUAAAAUCAUAAAUAGCAUUAUAAAUAUUUACUUACCUUUGAUGAUCUUCAUCAGAAAUCACUUCCAGGAAUCCCAGGUCCACAAUAAAUGUUGUUUUGUUCGAUAAAGUCCAUAAUUUAUGUCCAAAUACCUCCUUGUUGUUUGCAAAAAAGUCAAAAUAAGUUAUAUUUACGUUCGUAGAAACAUGUCAAACGUUGUAUAGCAUCAAUCUUUAGGGCCUUUUUANNNNNNNNNNNNNNNNNNNNUUUUAACCUCUUACAUCUAGACGUUCCGCUAGCGGAACACCUGCUCCAAUAUCCAAUGAUAGGCGUGGCGCGAAUGACAAAUUCCUCAAAAAUACAAAAACUUCAAUUUUUCAAACAUAUGACUAUUUUACAGCAUUUUAAAGACAAGACUCUCCUUUAUCUAACCACACUGUCCGAUUUCAAAAAGGCUUUACAACGAAAGCAAAACAUUAGAUUAUGUCAGCAGAGUACCCAGCCAGAAAUAAUCAGACACCCAUUUUUCAAGCUAGCAUAUAAUGUCACAAAAAAACAAAACCACAGCUAAAUGCAGCACUAACCUUUGAUGAUCUUCAUCAGAUGACACACCUAGGACAUUAUGUUAUACAAUACAUGCAUGUUUUGUUCAAUCAAGUUCAUAUUUAUAUCAAAAACCAGCUUUUUACAUUAGCAUGUGACGUUCAGAACUAGCAUACCCCCCGCAAACCUCCGGUGAAUUUACUAAAUUACUCAGGAUAAACGUUCACAAAAAACAUAACAAUUAUUUUAAGACUCUUGUAAAUGUACUGUCCUAACAUACUCUAAAUUUAUGCUUUCGCUGUAAAACCUUUUUGAAAUCGUAAAACGUGGUUAGAUUAAGGAGAUGUUUAUCUUUGAAAUGGUGUAAAAUAGUUGUAUUUUUGAAAAAUUUGCCGCUCUUGAAAUGCACCUGCUGUUGAUGGAGUGCACCACGGGUGGCACGCUAGCGUCCCACCUAGCCCAUAGAGGUUAAGAAUUAUAGAUACAGAACUCCUUUGUGCAAUCGAGGUGUCCGAUUUUAAAAUAGCUUUUCGGUGAAAGCACAUUUUGCAAUAUUCUGAGUAGAUAGCCCAGCCAUCACGACUAGCUAUUUAGACACCCACCAAGUUUAUCCCUGACCAAACUCCGAUUUACUAUUAGAAAAGUUUGAUUACCUUUGGU